AGCUGGUCGGACUGCCACUCUAUAGAACUUACCUUUAAGUUUCGGGGCACCUUCUUAUCACAUAAAACACCCGAAACGAGCCUCCAUUUCAACCACCCUGCCCCAAUAUGAUGCGCGACAUCCUCGUCAAUUUCUCUAUUGCCUUGAAUCAUAGACCCCAGAUACUUGAAACUCUCCCUCUUCUGAAUGACCUGAGAGUCCAGCUUCACAACCACGUCAGCCUCCUGCGACACAUAGCUAAACUUACACUUCAAGUACUCCGUGUUGGUCCUACUCAAAUGAGAAAUCCUUUAGACUCAAGGGUCUGUCUCCAAAAUCUCCAACUUAUCAUUAACUCCUCCCCGAGUCUCGUCAAUCAAUACCACAUCACCAGCAACUAACACACACCAAGGCACCCCUUAAAUAUGUCGCGUCAAAACAUUAAGAGUCGAUCCCUGGUGCGACCUUAUCAAAAUUUGAAAAUGCUUUGAAUCUCCACCUACCGUCCUCACAUGAAUCUUCGCGCCAUCAUACAUGUGCUGAAUCGACCUAACGUAUGUCACGGGCACCCUCUAGCCUCCAAGCACCUCCACAAAAUCUCUUGGGAACUCUGUCAUAUGCCUUCUCAAGUUCAAUAAACACCAUGUGCAAGUCCUCUUCCUCUCCCGAAAUCGAAAUAGCUGCGAACGUAAAACAACGGUUUUUGAGACACCACACUAAAAUUUUGAAUACCAUCGGUUUACAGAGAUUUUAGCGGUGAUAUACUGUAUAACUGCCGUUUGUGUUUCAAAUAUUAUUUUAUUUCUCCCUCAGUGUAUUCAGAAUUCCCACUCACAAUUUGGUCUCCCUUCAAAAAUUUAGAACUCCAUUGUUCCCUCGUAUCUCUCUGUAUGUAGCGCUUCGGGUUCUCACUUCUCAGGACCACAGAACUAUUCCCAUAUUUGGAAAAAACUUUGAAAUGAACAGGCAGAAUAUUAUGGCUUGAAUUUGUACGUUAGCUGUUUCACCAGGAGUAUUUAAGCAACAUGCUUUGGCUAACAUAAAAAUGAGGAAGCAUGCUAAUGUCUGCAGGGUCCUCUAAAUACUUCCGGGACCAAGCAAGAUAUCUCCUCUGCCAGCUGAAUGAUCCACCAGUCUUGCAUAUUUAUUGGAGCAAAAUGAACUAGCUGACAAUUUUAGCAACUAUGGGGGUGCACAUAAGGAAGAAGGAAGUCAAACUGCGAGUGUUUAGGUGGGUACAUGAUACGAGUACGAUCACGAGGAUGGACGAGAACGAGUGCGUAGCACAAGUGAAGUGUAAAAGAGGGCCUAAAUGCACUAAAAACAGCCCCUAAGUUACACUUUAUGGGCACCUCACCCUUGAGGGGUAUUGUGGUCAUUUUGUAUUCUAUUUUGUAAUACACUAUAUAUAGAACCUCUUAGGGUUUUUAGUUUUAGUUUUUGUUGAUUAUGAAAGUGUAACAUUUAGAAACAUCUCUCUAGAGAGAAUGACCCUCCUUGGCCGAAAUUGUAACUAGGGAAAUCAACUUGAGUGUGGAAUCACUCGUGUUGGAUUCAAGCUUGGAAACGUUGGAUGCUUGGGAGAUCGAGGUCACUCUUGUGCCAACGUAGGAGUUAGGUAUUCGUUGUGUGUAUUGUUAAAGGUCCAAGAGUGGAAUAGGCUCUUGAGUUUUUAAGAUUACACCUUCAUUUUGUCUAACUAUCUAUCCUCUUGUUUGUUGUAAUCGUUGUUUCUUGUUUUUGUUAAUGUAACCCGUGAAGUGUUGUUAUUGUUACCACUUUGUUGUUGUGCAU